ensembl:lncRNA
UGUGUGUGUGUGUGUGUGUUCAUAAGUAGUUUUAAACUUUGUGGUCCACAAAACAACAUAACAGUAAAAGAAGAACUGACUGCGUUACAGUCAGUGCGGGAGCCCUGCCUGCCCUGAUAGCAGCUGGGGGAGGACUAUCCUCCGCCUGUGAGCGCUUUGGCACGGGUGAGGUGCCCAAGGCAGCACCCGCUGCUUAUUGAGAGUAAGAGCGAUACGCGCUUUCACGUCAAAAAGUCGUCAUAAAUAAGUCUCUAAUAACGCCAGAAAAAGUCGCCAGAUUUGUCGCUAGUCGCGUUUUAGAAAAAAAUGUUGCUAAGGGGUCUGAAAACUCGCUAAAUAUAGCGACAAAGUCGCUAAGUUGGCAACACUGGUGAUCCGGUGCACGCUUCGUGGUCCCAUAUAUCCCACAAUUCAUAGCGCGGCGGUGGGUGUGGAUAAUUUUGUCACAAAAUACGACAGAAGGGAGCGGCUGAAGAGUGAACUGUCAAAACUUAUCACACAUUUGAUUUCCAUGUGUGACGACUGCAAGUGUCCAGAGUGAGGACAGACUGAGGGACCCACUGCUGUACAUCAUCUGUGAGGCUUUGCACCCCUGAUGAUCCACCAGGACAAACUCAGCAGUGUGUGAGGAAGAGGAGGAGGAAGAGCCAGCAGCAGCUGACAGAUGGAGAGCAUAGACAGACUGUUCCCUGUUUGUGAAGGACUGCUAGGAAAGUUUAAAAUAACUAAUUGUCUGUCCUGAAUCAGUCUUAUUAGGUAAUGUUCAAAAAAUUUGAUCAUUCCAGUGUUUUCAGUGUGGGAGAAAGUACUCGGGGCCUUCAAGUUACACACUAUGAAAGGAAGCAACAAGUUUAAUGUUCAGAAACCUAAAGUAUGUAUCAGCAGCAGAAUGGAGCUAAAAUAAAUGUUUGUUCCAGUAUUUUGGAUUAGUAGCACUGCUGUGUUUGUUGCAUCAUGUUGCUGUAAUUGUUUAUAUGCUUUAUAUAUUCUGAGCUAAGUUGAUCUAUAGUGUUACAUCAUAUUCUAUAAGGAUGUUAUGUGUUUGUAGACUUUCUGCCCAGUUUGACCCAUUUAGCAGAAGUCAGCCUGUUUAAGACUCUGAUAUCUAUUCUGUAUGACUUAAAGCAGUUAUGACAUGGUCUGAUUUUCUC